UGUCACAACAUCUAAGUUAAAUGGUGGCUUUUAUUCUUCUUUUAAAAGCAGAAUAUUAUUCAUGCAUCCUCUUCUUAGUCGCUAGGAUUGUGAGUAGCAUGAGUUUCUACAGAUGUCAUUUGGCAUUAGCUCUGCGAGUGAGGUGUUCCAGCACAUCAUGGAACAAAUUUUCCAUGGAUAUCCCAGUGCCAUUAUUGUGGACAACAUACUCAUUGGUGGCAAGGACAUUAAGGAUCAUGAUGCCAUCCUAAGAAAAGUACUCAACUGAGCCACAGAGGUAAAUCUAAGACUCAACCCUGAAGUUCAGACUGAACCAAGUUGGACAUGUGUUUGUAAAAGCAGACCUAUCAAAAACAAAGGAAACUAGAAAUGUUGCAUUUCCUGUGAAAAUCCAAGUGUGAAUGCUGCAGUUGGCGUUUGAAGCCAACUGCAAAAGACUGGAAGGAAUGUAAGAAAUAGGCAGAAGCACCACAAGAAAUGAUAUCUGCCACAGAGGGGAGCUGGUCCUUUAGUUGGAACAGCAGUAGAAGUACCACAUGGUAGAUUAACUGCCAUUGUUUCAAGCACUGCUGAAUAUAUCUCAACAUGAAGGUUAUGUGGAGUUUGUGACAGGCUGACACUGUUUGCAUUAGAUUGUAUUUUAAUUUGACUUGAACAGUGUCCAAGUAAUACAAUCACAUCAUUUUGCAGAGUGAGCCAUUUGUCUAAACUGCUAAAAAUUUCAAUAAAGAUAUUUUGGAAAAAAAAAAAAAUCUUUAUAUUUUGUACACUAUUUUUUUUAAUGGUGUGGUGAAAAGUAUUAAUUUUUACACAUGUGGAAUAGGCCUAAAACUGCAUGUAUAUUUUCUCAGUUUAUACUAUUUUGAAAGAAAUGAGUUUGAAAACUUAGAGGUCCACCAGUGUAGUUAUGACUGUAAUAAAAGACAGGAGACAGACAGUCAGAUAUAUGGCAUAGUUUUACUUCACAUUUUUCCAUUACAGAGUAAAUCUUAAGUCUAAACACAGGUAUUGGACAGCUUCUUAACACCGAUACAUGAGGCUGCAUUAGCUAGUGGAUACUGCAUAGACACACACACACAAACUCACUUACACACACUCACAAAAAUGACUAAAUUUUCCAC